CCCCACUUAAAUUCCUGACGUCCUCGUCAGGCCUAAACAGAUAGCCCAUAGGCCCAUAUCGAACCUCUCUAGCCAUUGUGGGAUAAUACAGGCAGGCUAGCUUCGUAUCCCCGCCUCCAGAUCUCUGUCCAUUGCGGGAUAAUACCACCAGCCUUCGUGUCCCCACCUCCGGCAACUUGACGAAUCAAGCUUUCGAGAGCCUGCUCUGAAUACCAUAUGCGAUAACCUGGGUUAAAUCCCGAGUCUUUUUCGAAAAUCGGGUCAAGUCCCGAAUUCCGAAUCUGAAAAUAAGCCCAAAUAUACUGACCCAAUUGCAACAACUUGGGUAAUUCACAAGCCCACCACAUGCCCCCAAAAGAUCAUGAUUUGUUGGUGCAAUUGGUAGUAGUACUUAUGUUUAUAAACUGAACAAAUAUUCCCACUCUUCUUGAUGUGGGACUGGAGUGUUACAAACUCCCCCACUUAAAUUCCUGACGUCCUCGUCAGGCCUAAACAGAUAGCCCAUAGGCCCAUAUCGAACCUCUCUAGCCAUUGUGGGAUAAUACAGGCAGGCUAGCUUCGUAUCCCCGCCUCCAGAUCUCUGUCCAUUGCGGGAUAAUACCACCAGCCUUCGUGUCCCCACCUCCGGCAACUUGACGAAUCAAGCUUUCGAGAGCCUGCUCUGAAUACCAUAUG
rnacentral:lncRNA from 1 species